rnacentral:tRNA from 1 species
CGCCUAUUAGCUCAACUGGAAGAGCACUGUGUUAUUGCACAAAGGUUGUGGGUUCGAAUCCUGCAUGGGCUA